rnacentral:piRNA from 1 species
UCACUAGUAAAGUUGUCCUCAGUGCCA